CCUGGAUAUGUUGACAUAAUAGAUAAACUCACAAUUCUUAACGACUUAACUCAAUAAAAUUUAUUAUUCACUCAUGACACUGCAUGUCAUUGCAAAUGGCAUGAUUUCAUUGAUUUCAUUCUCUGUUUCUUUCUCUGUCUCUCUGUCUCUCUCUCUGUCUCUAUAUGUAGAAAGAGACAGACAGAGAGAGAGAAACUCAGCCGUAUAUACAUAUAUCUUCUUCAUCCAUUCAUCAGUUAAUGGAUACUUAGGAUCUUUCCAUAAUUUGGCUAUUGUCGAUAAUGCUGCUAUAAACAUUCAGAUGUAUGUAACUCCUCAAAUCAGGAUUUAUGUUUCCUUCGGGUAAACACCUAUCAGUACAAUUGUUGGAUCAUAAGAUAGUUCUAUUUUUAAGUUUUUGAGGAAACUCCAUACUGCUUUCCAGAGUGGCUGCGCCAGUUUGCAUUCCCACCAACAAUGCAAGAGGGUUCCCUUUUCCCCCACAUACUCAUGAAUAUCUGUUAUUUGCUGUGUUGUUAAUUUCAGCCAUUCUGAUAGGUGUGAGGUGGUAUCUCAUUGUAGUUUUAAAAUUAAAUUAAUUUGAAAUAAUUUUAAUUUCUAAGUAGCAUUCUCCAAUAAAUAGAAUCAUGAUUCCUAGAGAAAGUGGUAAUUCCAGGGCUAUGGCAGAAAAAGUCCAUACAUACAUUUAGAUUUUCUUUUUAUGGCCAAAAGUCAGGAUGCACUAAAAAAAAUAUAUAAGAAUGUGUCAAAAAUUCAAGGAAGCUAGCUUAAAUGGGUUUACAUCUACUAACAGAAUAAUUUGGGAAUGAACCCAAAUAAUUUGGAAAUCAACAUUAUUGUAAUGGAUUACGAUCCAUCAAAUAUUCCUUGAGUCCUCCAUACCAAAUUAAAAAAAAAAAAACAUAGGAAUGAAGGGAAAUAUCUUCCCUACAGUAAAAUAUUAACAAAGGUAAAGGGAAUAAUCAUCACUAUGCAACACCCAAAACAAUGAAUUAUGGAAGAAUGGAUGUUAAAACUAAAGGAUGAGAUUUUGAUGCUGAACAAGAUAUUCACUUUGUCUUAAAGUAGAACUUCAUUCCUAUUUCUUACUUGUUACACAAUUAACAAUAGAGUGAUCUGAAGGUUACUACUUAAACAAAUGAUCAAAUUUUACAUCACUAAUAUGGGACAAACUGAUAUCUGCCUCUUGAUAUGUUGCACUAAAGAAGGAGAACUUAGAUAAUAUCAUUGUCCAAAAUGCAUGUUCUAAACUAAAUGAUAAAGACUAAAGGACAUUAAGCAAAUAAAUGGCCUAUGGUCUUCAAAAUAUCAAAGUUUUGAAAGACAAAAACUUAUAGAUGAAUUAGCCCAGAUUAAAGCAAACAAAAGAGACAUGAAAAGAAAAUGAGAUGUGUGAUCUUGGACCAGAAAAAUUCUAAGAGGAAACUCUUGGGGAGAUUUGGCAAAAUAUGAGUAAAGUUGUAGGUUGGAUAAUAGCAUUGCAGCAAUGUCAAAUUUCCUGUUUUUAUCAUAGGAUAUAUAUUGACAUAUUUAAACAAAAAGUGUCCUGAUGUUUGCAAGUUAUUAUCAAGUGGUUCUGAAAAUAAUGGUAAAAUUUACAUAUUAAAUCUUGAAAAGUAUUCAGGAAUUCUUUGUCCUAUGCUUGCUACUACUUUUCUCUAAGUUAAAACUAAUUUAAAAUUAUUUUGAAAGUUAAAAACUUCAGGGCACCUGGAUGGCUCAGUAGUUGAGCAUCUGACUUUAGCACGGGUCCUGAUCCCAGUGUCCUGGGUUUGAGUCCCACAUCAGGUUCCCCACACGGAGCCUGCUUUUCCCUCUGCCUAGGUCUCUGCCUCUGUCUGUGUCUCAAAUAAAUAAAUAAAUAAAUAAAUAAAUAAAUAAAUAAAAUCUUUUAAAGAAGUUAAAAACCUCAUUAAUUAUUUCUCUCUUUAGUUCCAAGGUGUUAUAAUUUUGAGACUCAAUUAGUGCAGUUUGAUAAUGACAGAAGAAAUGCAAGGAAUUUAUGAGUUCAACAACAAUAAUAAAAACAGCAACUACAAAAGAGGAAUAACACUUUAAGCAAACAACUGGUAGAAUAAUUUAAGAUAAAUACUAUUGAUUGUUAAGCCACAUUUAUUACUGGAAUGUUUUACUCAUUUCUGAUGUCUAUGAAGAGUGAAAAGGAAUUAAAAAAUAACAAUAAGGUUUCAUAUAGUACAGAAGUGGAAUUCAGUGAGAUGAAGGAUGUGUCUUUCAGGAUUCCCAAAACCCUUUUACUGUUGUGCAGCUUGCCUAAAGGAAAUUGCAUCACACUAAAAUUCAUUAGGAUGUCAUUAAUGAGGUCUGUGCACAUUUCAGUCCAAAUGAACUUUGACAUCUGUCUACAGGCCCCAAAACUGGUUCUCUGAUACUUUCAUUAGAGGGGAACACUGUCUCCAUGCACAUGAAAAUGAAACAAGCGAAUUGCAAAUAUUAAGACUGUAGGAAAGAAAGAAAUAUAAAGACUGUUACAAUUAAAUAACAAUUUCUAAUAUUAUUUCAAAACCUCCCAGACUUCUAGUGUAAAAAUAGAUUUGAUUAAUUUAACAGUCUCUAAAACUAACUAUAAUUCAACCACAAAUACCCAUGUUUUGAAUGUGCACUAGCAAUUCCUAGGAAUUGGAAAUUAGUGUUAUCAUAGUCUUACUAAUUAUAAAAAUAUUAAUUUCUCUGUCAUAGUUACAUACAUUUGUCAAUCAUCUAAUCUGCACACUUAAGUGGUAGUCUCUUUAGACUUGUAAACAAUAAUAUUUACAUACUAAGUAUAGAUGUAUUGAUUGCAAGUGCUUUUAAAUAACGAAAAGAUUUAUAAUUAAUGUCAAGUAGUAGUGUAUUAAAUAUUGACUAAAAUGUGAAUAAAGUUCAGUUACAAAAUGAAUGCUUUUUUUUUUCCACUGAAAUGUUACAUACUACCUUUUUUCCAUAUGUGAUUCAAAUUAUAUCACCACAUCUGGCAUAAAAAAGGUUCUAUUUUUUCUAAGUUUUGACAAUAUAUGACAAUCCAUGACAGCUUCUUAUCUAUCUAUAAAAAACUCAACUUACAAGGCCGUCAAUUGUUUUUCUCUUUGUUUGUGCUUGAAAACUGCAUUAAGGGUAACCUGCAGAAAGAAAAGAAAAAAAACAUAAUACACCUCAUUUUUUUGUUUUAAAUUUACUUUAUAAACAACAUUCGUAUCUGUUAUAGAUCUGAUUUCAUUCUAUUCUAGGUAAAAAUACCUAACAGUCCUUAAAAUAUUUUUUUUCCUAAAAUAUUCUCUGCAUUCUGACAUCUGUUAGAAAUAAAGGAAUAAAAUUAAUCAGUGAAUAUAAUAUUAAAACUCAAGGAAAGUGUAAAAAAAAUGAUUAUCAAUUUUAGUAAAAAUGGUAUUACAUAUCAACAACUCUCUUUUUUAUACAUGUUUUCAUUUUCAUGAUUCAGAAAUUAGUGUUCAUAGAGUCAUCAUUGCCACAUAAAGUAACAAACUGUGGUGAAAAAUUGACAAUCAUCAUGCUAAUUAAAUCAAUUAAAUUGGAUAUCUCAAUAUUAUAUCCUCAUUCAUAUUAAAUAGUGGCUGAAUUAUUCGAUUGGUUGUCAACAUUAGUCAAGUCAUUGAAGAAAGCUUGAUUCUGACAAUCUAACUCAAAGUAUCCCAUCUGUGAUGUGGACAUACACUAUUUUAUUCCCUGAAAACACCCUCUUCUAUUUUCUGAUACAGUGUUAGAUACAGAACCUGAUCAGCAUGUGCUUGAGCAUUGCAAAGUUAAGCUCACAAUAUUUUUUGUCAUAUGAAUGAUGGAUAAUGCCUAACACCAGCUGUCUUUUCAGCUGUGACUUGCCAUCUAGCCUGUCAAAUAGCUCAAUCAAAAAAUCAGUAUGAUAUGCUACUCCUUUUACUGAGAGAAAUGCCUCAAGUCAUAAAGUUUCACAAUACCCUUUGGUGAUUUACAUAAAACUGUUUUCUUUUUUUUUCUUUUUAUUUUUUUUUAAAUUUUAUUUAUUUAUGAUAGGCACACAGUGAGAGAGAGAGAGAGAGAGAGAGGCAGAGACACAGGCAGAGGGAGAAGCAGGCUCCAUGCACCGGGAGCCCGAUGUGGGAUUCGAUCCCGGGUCUCCAGGAUCACGCCCUGGGCCAAAGGCAGGCGCUAAACUGCUGCGCCACCCAGGGAUCCCUAAAACUGUUUUCAUUCCAAAUUUCCUCUUCUCUUACUGAUAUUAGAUAAUGGGAGAUUUAUAUAAGGCUAAUUUUGAUCAUAAUUAGAUGCUUUUCACAUUUUUCUUUUACCUAUUUAUUAGUAGACCCAUUAUACUAUCUUAUGGAAGGCACUAAAUUAUCAAAGAGCCCUAAUGACUAUUGAGUUUAGAUUUUUUGACAGAUCUGUUUAGCUUUUGUAUUCAAGUCUAAGAGAUAUGCAAAACAAAUCAAAGCACUUUGUUUUCUUAUUAAUUCCAACUCCUGAGACAACUCUGUAAAUAUAAAUGUAGAAGUCUCAAAAUGGGGGUAAUGAGAUCCUUAACUCUCUGUGUAGUUAAGAUGACCAUUCUAUAGUCAUUUACUGUGUAAAUAACUUACUUUCCAGGAACUUCAUAAACAGGAAUGAUCUUCCUCUGGCACUUAUUGUUUUUACUUCAUCUUUUUUAGGCAGUCCAUUGGUACUGUGAGAAAAAAUUAAUGAGUGCCAUACUUUAUUGAUGUACAUGCUAAAUUUUAUGGACUAUGAAGUAUAGUUUUACUUCUGUUCCUUUAACAUAAACAGAGACAUCAUGGGACAUCUGGGUGGCACAGUUGGUUGACUGUCCAACUUCUGAUCUCAGGGUGGUAAGAUUGAGCCCCCCCUCAGUCUGGCUCUAUGCUCAGCAUGGAAUCUGCUUGGGAUUCUCACUCCCUCUGUCCUCCUGCUGGUGCUCUCUCUCUCUCUCUGUAUCUCUCUCUCU
rnacentral:lncRNA from 1 species